rnacentral:rRNA from 1 species
CCUACGGGUAGCAGCAGUGAGGAAUAUUGGUCAAUGGGCGGAAGCCUGAACCAGCCAAGUCGCGUGAGGGAUUAAGGCCCUGCGUGUCGUAAACCUCUUUUGCCGGGGAGCAGAGGUCCGGACGUGUCCGGGCCGGGAGAGUACCCGGAGAAAAAGCAUCGGCUAACUCCGUGCCAGCAGCCGCGGUAAUACGGAGGAUGCGAGCGUUAUCCGGAUUUAUUGGGGUUAAAGGGUGCGUAGGCGGGCUUUUAAGUCAGCGGUAAAAAUUCGGGGCUCAACCCCGUCCGGCCGUUGAAACUGGGAGCCUUGAGUGGGCGAGAAGGAGGCGGAAUGCGUGGUGUAGCGGUGAAAUGCAUAGAUAUCACGCAGAACCCCGAUUGCGAAGGCAGCAUUCCGGCGCCCUACUGACGCUGAGGCACGAAAGUGCGGGGAUCGAACAGGAUUAGAUACCCUUGUAGUC